rnacentral:ncRNA from 1 species
CUCUGAAUCGUGAGGGAUACAAGGUUCAGGGCCGAGAGAG